GCCGAAGUGGCGGAAUUGGUAGACGCAGCGGACUCAAAAUCCGCCGUCCGUUAGGGCGUGAGGGUUCGAUUCCCUCCUUCGGUA
rnacentral:tRNA from 1 species